CCCCGCCCAAAAUGGAGGCCACGCCCCUGUUGGCGGCCCCGUUGUGUCUUUGACCAUUUUCUCACAGAGUAAUAAAUAAAUAAAGCGGAUCUCCUCGCCCCCGGGGGGUCCGACGCCACAGCGUCCUGUUCAGAGGGGCUUCUGAGAUCCUCCUCGCCCCUGGGGGUUACAUUCAUGUCCAGGAGCGGGGAGGUGGAGGUGGAGGGGUCAUAAUCCAACAGUGGCCCCCCACCGACCGUGUGGCUCCGGGGGGGGGGGGGGGGGGGGCCCGGGUACAAACGCCACGCCCCCGACCGA